UCAUUGGUAGGUAAGAGGUUAAAACCACCAGACUUUUAAUUUGGCAUCUUUAGAUUUCGAGGGUUCGAAUCCCUCCCAAUGAA
rnacentral:tRNA from 1 species